rnacentral:rRNA from 1 species
GACGAACGCUGGCGGCGUGCUUAACACAUGCAAGUCGAACGGAAAGGCCCUGCUUUUGUGGGGUGCUCGAGUGGCGAACGGGUGAGUAACACGUGAGUAACCUGCCCUUGACUUUGGGAUAACUUCAGGAAACUGGGGCUAAUACCGGAUAGGAGCUCCUGCUGCAUGGUGGGGGUUGGAAAGUUUCGGCGGUUGGGGAUGGACUCGCGGCUUAUCAGCUUGUUGGUGGGGUAGUGGCUUACCAAGGCUUUGACGGGUAGCCGGCCUGAGAGGGUGACCGGCCACAUUGGGACUGAGAUACGGCCCAGACUCCUACGGGAGGCAGCAGUGGGGAAUAUUGCACAAUGGGCGGAAGCCUGAUGCAGCAACGCCGCGUGCGGGAUGACGGCCUUCGGGUUGUAAACCGCUUUCGCCUGUGACGAAGCGUGAGUGACGGUAAUGGGUAAAGAAGCACCGGCUAACUACGUGCCAGCAGCCGCGGUGAUACGUAGGGUGCGAGCGUUGUCCGGAUUUAUUGGGCGUAAAGGGCUCGUAGGUGGUUGAUCGCGUCGGAAGUGUAAUCUUGGGGCUUAACCCUGAGCGUGCUUUCGAUACGGGUUGACUUGAGGAAGGUAGGGGAGAAUGGAAUUCCUGGUGGAGCGGUGGAAUGCGCAGAUAUCAGGAGGAACACCAGUGGCGAAGGCGGUUCUCUGGGCCUUUCCUGACGCUGAGGAGCGAAAGCGUGGGGAGCGAACAGGCUUAGAUACCCUGGUAGUCCACGCUGUAAACGGUGGGUACUAGGUGUGGGGUCCAUUCCACGGGUUCCGUGCCGUAGCUAACGCUUUAAGUACCCCGCCUGGGGAGUACGGCCGCAAGGCUAAAACUCAAAGGAAUUGACGGGGCCCCGCACAAGCGGCGGAGCAUGCGGAUUAAUUCGAUGCAACGCGUAGAACCUUACCUGGGUUUGACAUGGAUCGGGAGCGCUCAGAGAUGGGUGUGCCUCUUUUGGGGUCGGUUCACAGGUGGUGCAUGGCUGUCGUUAGCUCGUGUCGUGAGAUGUUGGGUUAAGUCCCGCAACGAGCGCAACCCUUGUUCACUGUUGCCAGCACGUUAUGGUGGGGACUCAGUGGAGACCGCCGGGGUCAACUCGGAGGAAGGUGGGGAUGACGUCAAGUCAUCAUGCCCCUUAUGUCCAGGGCUUCACGCAUGCUACAAUGGCUGGUACAGAGAGUGGCGAGCCUGUGAGGGUGAGCGAAUCUCGGAAAGCCGGUCUCAGUUCGGAUUGGGGUCUGCAACUCGACCUCAUGAAGUCGGAGUCGCUAGUAAUCGCAGAUCAGCAACGCUGCGGUGAAUACGUUCCCGGG